rnacentral:rRNA from 1 species
UACGUAGGGGGCGAGCGUUGUCCGGAAUCAUUGGGCGUAAAGCGCGUGUAGGCGGUUCAGUAAGUCUGCUGUGAAAGUCCAGGGCUCAACCCUGGGAUGCCGGUGGAUACUGCUGAACUAGAGUGCGGAAGAGGCGAGUGGAAUUCCCGGUGUAGCGGUGAAAUGCGCAGAUAUCGGGAGGAACACCAAUUGCGAAGGCAGCUCGCUGGGACGUUACUGACGCUGAGACGCGGAAGCGUGGGGAGCAAACAGG